AUGUUUGAAAAUUUAAAAAAGAACGCGCCUGAGCUCUUUCCCUCUCCACCGCGGCAAUGUCGCCUCUGGCGGUGGUGGAGCUCCUAACCACUACCCCAACAUACUAAACCCUCCGUCUCACCUUGCUAAACCUAAAUCCAACCAUGCAAUCUCUCAAUUCCUAAACCCCUAAGUGAAUCAAAUAAAAGAACAAACGAACCCUAACCUAUUGAUUCAGAAAUUAAAUGACGGUGAGGUAGAAUCAGAGCCUCAAGCAAGAGGGCUUUGGCUCCCUGCACAAAGCUCUACCUCGUGGUAACAUUGUUUGAUGAAAUGGGUGAGCUCGAGAUGUUUCUUCACCGGAGAAGAUGACCAGAGCAACACGACUGUAGCAAAGGUUGCUACUGCAACUUGAUUGGGGAAGCCUGUUGCAUGUUUGUGUUUGGUUGGUUUACAGCAAUCACAAGCUUGCACCUCUGCCUCUAAAUUGUCAUAGCUGCUACAAUGAUGUUGAUGAUGAUAUCACGUGAAAUAGCUAGAUUGUAUAUGAUUUUGCCUUGCUGAUGUUAUUGUUGUGCAGGCAUGUUUAUAUCUUGCUACUGAUAUUAUGACAUUGGCUUGUUUUGGGAAUGCAGGGUUUUUCUUGAUGUUUAUGCAAGGAUGCUAUGACUGAUGUGGUUUUGAUCUUUGCCAUGCCAUCUUCUGAAAAAUGAAGGUUAUGAUGGGCUGCUUAGCACAUUGCUUUGGGAUGCAAGGGGAAAACCUUGGAGGUACAAUAUGGAGACAGCUAAAGGAAGUAUAUGAAGCAUGGGAGCAUCAUAAAAAGGGCUUCCAAGUUUCAAGAUCU